CAUCCGCAUAGGAAUCACCAGAAGGUGAAUAAUUUCGAAAUUGUAGGUUGCGAAAUUAUUCACCACCUGAUGAUUCCUAUACGGGUG